UUUUUGGACCAAGGAAUGGAACCGUCCAACAUGAGCGGUUUUAUCGAGGCCGUAGGAUUUGGUUAUAUUCAAGCACGAAAAUCAAAAACUUGGUGUAUAUGAGAAAAGAAGUCCCAAAAUUAUUUAAGACGAAAAGGUGUGAUGACGAUAAUUGAAAAUAAUAUUUUAUGUGUGCCAAUAGAGACUAUGAAGGUGAUGUUAUAUUACAUGGUCAUGGUAAUGGGUGUAUGAAUUAUGUCAAAAGUGAUCAACAUUUACGUAAAUCGUGAUUAGGAAAUUAAUUAAGAUUGUUUGAUAAAAAUUAUGUGGACAUAUGUCAUGGAUAAGCGGAAGCAAGUCCAUUAUGUACGUAUACAUAAGCAUUAUUGUGUCACAAAUAUGAUAAGUAUCAAAAGGGAAGGGGUUGGCCAAUGAGUGCCAUGUGUAAGAUUGGAAAGUGUGUAUAUUAUACUAAUCAAUAUCUAGUAUUCAAUUAGUGAAGUAGUGGCAGCAUUACACGUAUUGAAAUACAUGGGUACUAUGCAUAAAUGUGCCUUCUAUUCUUAUGAUAAGUGUCAUAAUGUAGAUCAAGAUGGGGCCACGUGUAAGGUAGAAAAGGUGUAAUUUAUGUCACUUAUUAUACUUUAUUGAGAAUUCACUUGGAAGGAAAAGUCAUGCAAGAUAUUUUGGUAGAAAGAAACGUGAGCUUCAGUUCUUAGAAGCAAUGUGAGUCCCAAUUUUAUGGAAGCAAAGUAUAAUUUUGCUCAAGAACGACAUGCGAGUUUUGUCCACUAUUUUGAUUUCGUUGUUUCGUUUUGUUGUAUUGUUAAAAUUUGAAAUUUAUUCAAGGUGAAGUAAUGUGGAAGAAGAGUAUUUCUUGGCAUAUGAGGUAAGAAUUCUCCUCUAUUAGAUAUAUUUAAAUUCGUCCAGGCCACAAUUAAAUGAAGAGACGGGAACUACGAAAGUUAUAUCGGAAAUCGGAUAAAUAGUUGUUGUUAUUACGUGGAUAGUUAGUGAAUGUUGAAAUAAAGUGGGACAGCAAGGAACUAAUUAUUGUAUUAUCGGACAAGGAUUAAAGAGGUAGUAUUGUAUUGCUGGAUGGUUAAUGAGGUGGCAGCCCCCUACACGUGGAAGCAUAGUAGAAGAAGUGAUUAGUGACUAAGUCACUUGCAUACAGAUCUGCAAGCCUCAUCCAAGGAAAUACCUUUUAGUGGUGGGCUCCACCAUCCAAUAUAUAUUCUAUAAAACUUGCCUUGUUUUUGGAGAGUACAAGACUUCUUGAGAAAUAUAGAUACAUAUAUAGGUUCUACAUCACUAUUUUGGCUAUGUACGUAACAUAUAGCUAUCUCUCACGUUUCAGUUAUAUAUGUAAAGAAGAUACAUAUAUUUCUUCUUCUUACUUUAGUUUAAUGGAAGAUAUAGAAGUGCACAGCAAUGUUUUACAUUUUUGUUUCAAAGAAGAUUAACGACCAACAAUGUUUUAGGCACUUCAUUUUGAGAAAGAAGGGAGCCGCAAGGCACUUAGCUUGUAGUGUAAUUGGAAGUUGGGCAGCAACUAAGUGGCACCUUGCAGUAACGUGUAUUCUAUUUUAAGUGGUUGUUUGGUUCUUGUAUACUCGGGCCAAGGCAGGUUGUUUCAUCUUGGUUUAAGAAUAAGUUUGGAUGAGACGGUGGUUUUAUUGUGAUUAGCGGAUCGAUAAUCGAGGUAUGUUAAGUCUAUUCCUUCUUUCAUUUUGGCAUGAUCCUUGUUGUUAUUCAUUCUAUAAGUACUCCAUAUGAUUUCAUUCUUAGACGAGUAAGGUCUAAAUGUUUCUUGUGAUGAUUUAUUGAUAUUGUACUCCUAUUCUGUUCCGAAGGGAACACCCAUAAGGUGCCAGUUGAAAUGUGUAUAAGGUUUUACUAAUGAUUUCGAGAAAAUUAGUUUUAUACUAAAGGAAACAUAAAGUUAGAUUUUCAAAACCACUCCGAAGGGGGUGUGAGAUUUUACUAUUUAGCUUUUCAAAACCACUCCAAAGGGGGUGCGAGAUUUUACUAUUUCAUUUCAUUUACGACCUAUGUUUACUUUCCAUAUCAUUAUUAUUAUUAUUAUGCCCAAAGGGGCCAUCCUUAUUAUUAUGCCGGAAGCGGCAUGCCCGAAAGGGCCAUCCUUAUUAUUAUGCCGGAAGCGGCAUGCCCGAAGGGGCCAUCAUUGUUAUUAUGCCGGAAGCGGCAUGCCCGAAGGGGCCAACAUUAUUAUUAUGCCGGAAGCGGCAUGCCCGAAGGGGCCAUCAUUAUUACUAUGCCGGAAGCGGUCGUCCGAAGGGACUAUUGUGAUACUAUACUCACAUUGUGUAACUUAGAAUUUGUGUAAGGAACUACAUGGCACGGAUUAUAAUGCUGUUCCAGGUUACUUCCGGGUUGCUUUUAAACUGGUUUACUAUUAUGCCUUUCCUUGUUUAUGAUUCAGUGAUGCUUUACAUAUUCAGUACAUAUUCCGUACUGACCCCCUUUCUUCGGGGGCUACGUUUCAUGCCACGCAGGUACACCCAGAUGAGUAGAAGACUUUGCUAGAUGGUGUUCUAGCGGGAUUGGCGAGCUCCAUCUCAGUUCGGAGUAUUGCCGAGUCAAGUACUUUUGUUAUGGUAUUUUGUAUAUGUUAGAGACUUUGCCGACAGUGUCCUGUGGAUAGGGCGUCGAGAAGUGCGAAUUAAUUAUAGAUGUUAAAAGAGUAUGUAUUUUCAGAUGAUUUCAGUUGGUAAAAGGUACGUAAUUGAUUGAAAGUUUUUCAUAAUCUGUAUAAAGGUAAUGACCUCUAUUUGGAAAAGUUUCAUGUUUUUGAAAGUUUUUGAAAUGACAGGUUUUGGUAAAGCGAAUGUUUAAGGGUUCGCUCGACUCUGAAGAGAGUUGGGUGCCCAUCAUGCCCUACCAUUUUUAGGGUGUGACAAAGUGGUAUCAGAGCAGGUCGUCUUAAGGGUUGUCUGCAAAGUCGUGUCUAGUAGAGUCGUGUUUAUCGGUGUGUUGUGCACCACAUCUAUAAACAGGAGGCUACGAGACAUUAACAGGGUGUCAUCCUUUCUUUCAUAUCUAAGAUCGUGCGAUAGAGCCCAGUCGUAGGAAAUGAAGUCCCUUGUACUAAUCUUUGAUUUCAGCUGAAGAACGGCAUCGGCAGAAGAAAGUGACUGAUGAUAUUGGAAGUUACAAAGUACGCAGGUAAGCAAAGGCACGAAAGAUAUAUGUCGAGUAAGGUAUGGAAGUACGAUUGAAAUGUAAAGUUGAAGAUUGAAGGAGAAAGUAAACAGGAAAGUAUAACAGGUGUAGUUUGAGUUGGGCAUACGAGGUAUGUUCAUCAUUUUCAUAUUAUUGGUGAUAUUGAGAGCCCUGUGUGGCUAUGAUACGAUAUGAGAUAUACGUAUAAAUGUUGGCCCUGUGAGGCAUUGUUGGUAUUUUCUGCGUGCAGGUUUUGGGAUAGUAAGAAGUACAGAGGAAACUCUGCCCAAAUUUUCCCAGAAAUAGAAAAACAAAUUGAUUGUCUGAUAAGACUAUAUGUUAUGACGAUAAGGAAAACCUUUCAAAAAAAAAAAUUCUUAUAGAACCUUACGGGACCAAUUUAACAUUCGAGGCCGAAUGUUCCUAAGGGGGGAAGGAUGUUACAUCCCGUGUUCUCAUGCGUUGGAAAGUGUGCAAGUUAAAUGAUAUUAGUAACGGACACGAGGUUAUUCCCCAAGCUUAUAGGUGGUUAAAGUAAUGGUACACAUGUAUCGUAAGGAUUUGAAGUUAAACCAAUCGGAAAAAAAAAAAAGGUUUGUCGAGUUUCAAAAUUUAUUCGAAUAGGUCCACGCUAUAAUAUCCCGUAUUUUUGGACCAAGGAAUGGAACCGUCCAACAUGAGCGGUUUUACCGAGGCCGUAGGAUUUGGUUAUAUUCAAGCACGAAAAUCAAAAACUUGGUGUAUAUGAGAAAAGAAGUCCCAAAAUUAUUUAAGACGAAAAGGUGUGACGACGAUAAUUGAAAAUAAUAUUUUAUGUGUGCCAAUAGAGGCUAUGAAGGUGAUGUUAUAUUACAUGGUCAUGGUAAUAGGUAUAUGAAUUAUGUCAAAAGUGAUCAACAUUUACGUAAAUCGUGAUUAGGAAAUUAAUUAAGAUUGUUUGAUAAAAAUUAUGUGGAUAUAUGUCAUGGAUAAGCGGAAGCAAGUCCAUUAUGUACGUAUACAUAAGCAAAUUGUGUCACAAAUAUGAUAAGUAUCAAAAGGGAAGGGGUUGGCCAAUGAGUGCCAUGUGUAAGAUUGGAAAGUGUGUAUAUUAUACUAAUCAAUAUCUAGUAUUCAAUUAGUGAAGUAGUGGCAGCAUUACACGUAUUGAAAUACAUGGGUACUAUGCAUAAAUGUGCCUUCUAUUCUUAUGAUAAGUGUCAUAAUGUAGAUCAAGAUGGGGCCACGUGUAAGGUAGAAAAGUUGUAAUUUAUGUCACUUAUUAUACUUUAUUGAGAAUUCACUUGGAAGGAAAAGUCAUGCAAGAUAUUUUGGUAGAAAGCAACGUGAGCUUCAGUUCUUAGUAGCAAUGUGAGUCCCAAUUUUAUGGAAGCAAAGUAUAAUUUUGCUCAAGAACGACAUGCUGAGUUUUGUCCACUAUUUUGAUCUCGUUGUUCCGUUUUGUUGUAUUGUUAAAAUUUGAAAUUUAUUCAAGGUGAAGUAAUGUAGAAGAAGAGUAUUUCUUGGCAUAUGAGGUAAGAAUUCUCCUCUAUUAGAUAUAUUUAAAUUCGUCCAGGCCACAAUUAAAUGAAGAGACGGGAACUACGAAAGUUAUAUCGGAAAUCGGAUAAAUAGUUGUUGUUAUUACGUGGAUAGUUAGUGAAUGUUGAAAUAAAGUGGGACAGCAAGGAACUAAUUAUUGUAUUAUCGGACAAGGAUUAAAGAGGUAGUAUUGUAUUGCUGGAUGGUUAAUGAGGUGGCAGCCCCCUACACGUGGAAGCAUAGUAGAAGAAGUGAUUAGUGACUAAGUCACUUGCAUACAGAUCUGCAAGCCUCAUCCAAGGAAAUACCUUUUAGUGGUGGGCUCCACCAUCCAAUAUAUAUUCUAUAAAACUUGCCUUGUUUUUGGAGAGUACAAGACUUCUUGAGAAAUAUAGAUACAUAUAUAGGUUCUACAUCACUAUUUUGGCUAUGUACGUAACAUAUAGCUAUCUCUCACGUUUCAGUUAUAUAUGUAAAGAAGAUACAUAUAUUUCUUCUUCUUACUUUAGUUUAAUGGAAGAUAUAGAAGUGCACAGCAAUGUUUUACAUUUUUGUUUCAAAGAAGAUUAACGACCAACAAUGUUUUAGGCACUUCAUUUUGAGAAAGAAGGGAGCCGCAAGGCACUUAGCUUGUAGUGUAAUUGGAAGUUGGGCAGCAACUAAGUGGCACCUUGCAGUAACGUGUAUUCUAUUUUAAGUGGUUGUUUGGUUCUUGUAUACUCGGGGCAAGGCAGGUUGUUUCAUCUUGGUUUAAGAAUAAGUUUGGAUGAGACGGUGGUUUUAUUGUGAUUAGCGGAUCGAUAAUCGAGGUACACCCAGAUGAGUAGAAGACUUUGCUAGAUGGUGUUCCAGCGGGAUUGGCGAGCUCCAUCUCAGUUCGGAGUAUUGCCGAGUCAAGUACUUUUGUUAUGGUAUUUUGUAUAUGUUAGACUUUGCAGACAGUGUCCUGUGGAUAGGGCGUCGAGAAGUGCGAAUUAAUUAUAGAUGUUAAAAGAGUAUGUAUUUUCAGAUGA